GACGAACGCUGGCGGCGUGCUUAACACAUGCAAGUCGAACGGAGUGGCGAACGGGUGCGUAACACGUGGGUGACCUGCCCUGCACUUCGUGAUAAGCCUGUGAAACUGGGUCUCAUACCGGAUAGUGGGGGAUGGGCCCGCGGCCUAUCAGCUUGUUGGUGGGGUAAUGGCCUACCAAGGCGGCGACGGGUAGCCGGCCUGCGAGGGUGGACGGCCACAUUGGGACUGAGACACGGCCCAGACUACGACGGGAGGCAGCAGUGGGGAAUAAUGCACAAUGGGCGGAAGAAUGAUGCAGCGACGCCGAGUGGGGGAUGACGGAAUUAGGGUUGUAAACUCCUUUAACCAUCGACGCGGUAGAGGGAGAAGAAGCACCGGCUAACUACGUGCCAGCAGCCGCGGUAAUUC
rnacentral:rRNA from 1 species